ensembl:lncRNA
CUUGGCACAACAGCUUGACUCAGGGAGAUGUUAAAGAUGCCCGCUAGGACAUCAGUCAGCUGGUCAGCACAGGCUCCGAGCACACGUCCGGGUAUAUUGUCUGGUCCAGCAGCUUUGUGUGGGUUGACUUUAGUAAGAUGGUGGUGGUUUUAAAGCACUUGGCACAACAGCUUGACUCAGGGAGAUGUUAAAGAUGCCCGCUAGGACAUCAGUCAGCUGGUCAGCACAGGCUCCGAGCACACGUCCGGGUAUAUUGUCUGGUCCAGCAGCUUUGUGUGGGUUGACUUUAGUGAGAGUCCUUCUCACACUGGCCGUGCACAGGGACAGCACUUGGUUGUCUGGCGAGGGGGUGGCCCUCUAUAGACAGUACUGCAUCCCAUUUAAAGAAGUGCGUGUUCACACUGCCCCUGGAUGUCCUGGCCUCUGAGGUUAAGGUGUACGGCUCCUGGUUGUAAACUGACCAAUUUAUCAUGGCAAAG